AGAGGUGCUUGCACCUUUCAAGCGAGUGGCGAACGGGUGAGUAACACGUGGAUAACCUGCCUCAAGGCUGGGGAUAACAUUUGGAAACAGAUGCUAAUACCGAAUAAAACUUAGUAUCGCAUGAUAUCAAGUUAAAAGGCGCUACGGCGUCACCUAGAGAUGGAUCCGCGGUGCAUUAGUUAGUUGGUGGGGUAAAGGCUUACCAAGACGAUGAUGCAUAGCCGAGUUGAGAGACUGAUCGGCCACAUUGGGACUGAGACACGGCCCAAACUCCUACGGGAGGCUGCAGUAGGGAAUCUUCCACAAUGGGCGCAAGCCUGAUGGAGCAACGCCGCGUGUGUGAUGAAGGCUUUCGGGUCGUAAAGCACUGUUGUAUGGGAAGAAAUGCUAAAAUAGGGAAUGAUUUUAGUUUGACGGUACCAUACCAGAAAGGGACGGCUAAAUACGUGCCAGCAGCCGCGGUAAUACGUAUGUCCCGAGCGUUAUCCGGAUUUAUUGGGCGUAAAGCGAGCGCAGACGGUUGAUUAAGUCUGAUGUGAAAGCCCGGAGCUCAACUCCGGAAUGGCAUUGGAAACUGGUUAACUUGAGUGUUGUAGAGGUAAGUGGAACUCCUUGUGACAGCCGGU
rnacentral:rRNA from 1 species